UCACUUCACUGGAACACUCUGCCCAUCUCUCCACUUCCGUCCUAUCCUGAUUAGUUUUUAUGAUUUUCAGUUAUGAAGUGAAACUGAUCUUCCAGUCUGAGUGUUGAUUUCUCAAUUUCUCAUUGACAAUGAUACUGUCCAUUUUAGUUGAUAUUUAAUUUUCUUGAUCCUUAUUAAGGCUUUAUUCUUGAUAUCUCUUUUUCUGACAGUAAUAUAGAUUUCUGAACUUUAAGAUAAUAGCAUAGUGUUUUUCCUCCCCAUUUGACGUAUGAAUGUUCUGUGUUCUUACUUCAGAACUUUCUUAGGAAAGCAUGGGAUUUCCUGCGAUGUUUUUCUCUGCUUUCCAUUUCUGAUUUCUACUGGGUCCUUGACAUUGUCUUUGUUCUUUCUUCUCCCCUCUCAUGGUAUGGAUAUUCUCAGUUCUAUUUCUAUCCUUUCAGUAGGUACUUUUAAGAUUUUUAAACACGCAUAACUGGCUUAAAAACAUUCAGUCAAAAUUUCGGAGGCCUUCUAUGACCUAAACAAGACUGCGUUAGCUUGUCAUUGCUGUGAUCUAAAUGCCCAACAUAAACAGCUUCAUGUCAGGAGGAAAGACUGAUCUUGGCUCACGGUUUCAGAAGUCUCAGUUCAUGGUCGGCUGGCUCCAUAGCUCGGGGCCUGAGG
rnacentral:lncRNA from 1 species